UACGUAGGGGGCAAGCGUUGUCCGGAUUUAUUGGGCGUAAAGAGCGUGUAGGCGGCCAUACAGGUCAGCUGUGAAAACUCGAGGCUCAACCUCGAGACGUCGGUUGAAACCGUAUGGCUAGAGUCCGGAAGAGGAGAAUGGAAUUCCCGGUGUAGCGGUGAAAUGCGCAGAUAUCGGGAGGAACACCGGUGGCGAAGGCGGUUCUCUGGGCCUGACCUGGACGCUGAGGAGCCGAAAGCGUGGGGAGCGAACAGG
rnacentral:rRNA from 1 species